rnacentral:rRNA from 1 species
AUUGAACGCUGGCGGCAGGCUUAACACAUGCAAGUCGAGCGGGGAUAGGGUGCUUGCACCUGAUUCCUAGCGGCGGACGGGUGAGUAAUGCUUAGGAAUCUGCCUAUUAGUGGGGGACAACAUUCCGAAAGGGAUGCUAAUACCGCAUACGCCCUACGGGGGAAAGCAGGGGAUCUUCGGACCUUGCGCUAAUAGAUGAGCCUAAGUCGGAUUAGCUAGUUGGUGGGGUAAAGGCCUACCAAGGCGACGAUCUGUAGCGGGUCUGAGAGGAUGAUCCGCCACACUGGGACUGAGACACGGCCCAGACUCCUACGGGAGGCAGCAGUGGGGAAGAUUGGACAAUGGGGGGAACCCUGAUCCAGCCAUGCCGCGUGUGUGAAGAAGGCCUUUUGGUUGUAAAGCACUUUAAGCGAGGAGGAGGCUACCUGGAUUAAUACUCUAGGAUAGUGGACGUUACUCGCAGAAUAAGCACCGGCUAACUCUGUGCCAGCAGCCGCGGUAACAC